rnacentral:lncRNA from 1 species
AGAGUAACCAUAGGCUGGCCUGAGAGUGACCACUGAGUGACCACUGAGUGACCACGUGCUGGCCUGAGAAUGACCAUGGAGUGACCGCUGACCACUGAGUGACCAGCCAGGAAUGGCCACUGACCAACUGACCACAUGGGAGUGACCAACUGACCAUCCAGAAAUGAAUGGAGUGGACACAGAGUGGACACAGAGUGGACACAGAGUGGACAUUAAAAUGGACACUGACCACACCAGGGGUCACCUGUUCCAAUUUUUGGGACCCCAGCCCCAAAUUUUGGGACCUUGACCCCAAAUUUUGGGACCCCAGCCCCAUUUCUGGGACCCCGACCCCAAAUUUUGAAGUUCUGACCCCAAAUUUUUGGACCCCAACCCCAUUUUUGGGACCCCAGCCCCAUUUUUAGGCUUCUGAACCCAAAUUUUGGGACCCCGACCCCAAAUUUUCUCAUUCUGACCCCAAAUUUUGGGACCCCAGCCCCAAAUUUUGUGAUUCCGACCCCAAAUUUUGAGGUUCUGGACCCAAAUUUUGGGACCUUGACCCCAAAUUUCGGGGUCCUAGCCCUAAAUUUUGUGAUUCCGACCCCAAAUUUCGGGACCCCAGCCCCAUUUUUUGUACCCCGACCCCAAAUUUUGCGAUUCCGACCCCAAAUUUUUUGGAUUCCCCCCCCCCAAUAAA